GACCCCAGGUCAGGUAGGGUCACCUGCUGAGUUUAAGCAUAUCAAUA
rnacentral:rRNA from 1 species